rnacentral:lncRNA from 1 species
UCCCCAUUGAAUUCUUUCUGCAGCACUAUGCUGCUGUUUAAUUCAAUAAUUAUUUACUUAAUUUAAUAUCUCCAAGCCUCAGACAGGCCCCUGGUCUGUUUUGUUGGAAUCUGCUUGGCCCAGCAUAUGCAGGCUACUCCGUGAACAUCUGCCCUGAAUGGAUGCAACCUGCAGUGCUCAUGAUCCACAGACCUUUCUAAGUCAGAGGGGUACCUUCUGUGCAACCAAAAGUAACAGCAAACAAAACUGCCAUCUGGAGAUCCCAUGAUGAGUAUGGUCACUCUGAAACACAGGAGCUCAGUCCUCUUCCGAUCAGCUAUGCGACCUCUCAGUGUGCAUGUGGCAUGCAUUCAUCCAUCCAUGUAAAUGGGUGUGGCACCGGGGGACGAUGGGAAACACCUAUAACCUUGGCACUCCGGAGGCAACAGGAGGAAGAUCAAGAAUUCAAAUCUAGGGCUGGUGAGAUGGCUCAGUGGGUAAGAGCACCCGACUGCUCUUCCGAAGGUCUGAAGUUCAAAUCCCA